GUGGGGAAUAUUGGGCAAUGGGCGAAAGCCUGACCCAGCAACGCCGCGUGAAGGAAGAAGGUUUUCGGAUCGUAAACUUCUAUCCUUGGUGAAGAUAAUGACGGUAGCCAAGAAGGAAGCCCCGGCUAACUACGUGCCAGCAGCCGCGGUAAUACGUAGGGGGCAAGCGUUGUCCGGAGUGAUUGGGCGUAAAGGGCGCGUAGGCGGCCCGGUAAGUCUGAAGUGAAAGUCCUGCUUUUAAGGUGGGAAUUGCUUUGGAUACUGUCGGGCUUGAGUGCAGGAGAGGUAAGCGGAAUUCCCGGUGUAGCGGUGAAAUGCGUAGAGAUCGGGAGGAACACCAGUGGCGAAGGCGGCUUACUGGACUGUAACUGACGCUGAGGCGCGAAAGUGUGGGGAGCAAACAGGAUUAGAAACCCGUGUAGUCC
rnacentral:rRNA from 1 species